GCGCCCGUAGCUCAAAGGAUAGAGUAGCGGUCUUCGGAACCGCUGGUGCAGGUUCGAUUCCUGCCGGGCGCA
rnacentral:tRNA from 1 species